AGCAAGGUGGCCUAGUGGUUUGAGUGUCAGACAGGGACCCUGGAGACCAGGGUUCAGACCCCAGCUUGGUCA